UACCCAUGCUGGCUGCUGCUAUAUUCUAGCCUCCUCUACUUCAGUUCCAGCCAGGUCAUGUUCCUACACAGUACAAGGAACAUGACCGGAGACUGGAGAGGAAGAGGGAGGAGUCAGACUCAGCACCAGUGUGCAGAACAGAUGAGCUACAGAGCGCGGGAAGGAAGAGCACCAGCAGGCAGUGACACUAGCAGCAAAGAUGAAGAUUUGUGGUAAAUCUGGACAGCAGCUGAAGUAUAACUGUUUAUAGAGCACUUACUCUGGGGAGCUGAGGAAAAUGUGAGAUGGACCAUAGAGGAAUUCAUGCA